rnacentral:rRNA from 1 species
UUUGAAGAGAGAGUUCNAGAGGACGUGAAACCGGUAGGAUGGAAACGGAUAGAGCCAACGAACAAGCCCGUAUUCAGCUAGUUGGCUGCGCGCCGCAUGCCUGUGUUCCCUCGGUCAGAGGGCAUAGGCGUGUUUGGUAUGCGUGCGGUUGGCUAGUGCAUUUGCGGGUGAUGUGCGCUGAGGCGUGUGGUGGAGUCCUGGAACCCGUCCGGAGAGGUCAUGCCUUCGGGCUUGAAACCCACGGGCGGUUAGUAGGGUUUUUGCUGCACGUAGCAAGUACGGCUGGGUGGAAUUACGCGCUGUUUUCGCUGCCGGGAUAGCUGCUUGGUCGAUCGCAUGCGAUCYGAUCUCGUCGGUUCUGUCCCUGGUGGUGCRACAGUGCCCUAGCUGGGCCUCGGUGUAAAAGUUGGUCAUCUCUCCGACCCGUCUUGAAACACGGACCAAGGAGUCUAGCGUGUACGCGAGUCAUUGGGUGGAUAAAACCCAUAGGCGCAAUGAAAGUGAAGGUCUCUUUGCGGAGGCUGAUAUGCGACCCGUGGCACUUCGGUGCACGCGGAGCAGCAUAGCCCCGUCUCGACUGCUUGCAGUGGGGCGGAGGUAGAGCGUAUUCGCUGGUACCCGAAAGAUGGUGAACUAUGCCUGAGCAGGAUGAAGCCAGAGGAAACUCUGGUGGAGGUCCGAAGCGCUUCUGACGUGCAAAUCGAUCGUCUGACUUGGGUAUAGGGGCGAAAGACUAAUCGAAC